AUUGAACGCUGGCGGCAUGCCUAACACAUGCAAGUCGAACGGCUGAACAGUAAUGACUUCGUGCUUUAUCGGUGGCGAGUGGAGGACGGGUUAGUAAUGCGUAGGAAUGUGUCCUGGAGGGUGUGAUAACGCGAGGAAACACGGCCUACUACCGCAGGAUAUAGAGAGAGCAAAUUCAGACGACCCUUCGGGACCUGACCCUCGAGGAUGUUCCCACGUCGGUUUAGCUAGUGCGUGUGGUAAAGGCCUACCAAGGCGACGAUCCGUAGCUGGUCUGAGAGGAUGACCAGUCACACUGGGACUGAGACACGGUCCAGAGUCCUACGGGAGGCAGCAGUGGGGAAUAUUGGACAAUGGGGGGAAGCCUGAUCCAGCGAUGCCGCGUGUGUGAAGAAGGUCUUCGGGUUGUAAAGCACUUUAAAUGGGGAAGAAAAGUAGUAGGUAAAUAACUUGUUGCUCUGACGGUACCGACAGAAUAAGCACCGGCUAACUUUGUGCCAGCAGCCGCAGUAA
rnacentral:rRNA from 1 species